GCUCCUUUAGUUCAGUGGUAGAACGUGAGAUUGCAGCGAAACCAAGUCUACUAUCUUAAGGUCACUCGUUCGAACCGGGUAGGGAGCU